rnacentral:rRNA from 1 species
UACGGUAGGGUGCGAGCGUUGUCCGGAUUCAUUGGGUUUAAAGGGUGCGCAGGCGGGACAUUUAAGUCAGGGGUGAAAGACGGUGCUCAACAAUCGCAGUGCCUUUGAUACUGGUGUUCUUGGGUGACCUUGAGGCAGGCGGAAUUCCGGGUGUAGCGGUGGAAUGCGUAGAGAUCCGGAAGAACACCGGUGGCGAAGGCGGCCUGCUGGGCAGUUUUGCUGACACUGAGGCGCGACAGCGUGGGGAGCAAACAGG